rnacentral:lncRNA from 1 species
AAGGUUUCAACAACAAUCUUAUUUUCCCAGAAAGCAAUCUAGUGGAUUCAGAUCAAGAUUUUCACUUUGUAAACUUGCACUAUACCUUCUGCUCGUACCUGCAGUUCGAGUUAUGAUCCAGCGAAAAAUCCCAUUGCAGUCGCCAUAUAUGGCCGGAUAAAUUCUUGUCAUGACCUCUUUAUAUGCUUUAUGUUAACUAUCCAAUAUAGCCGGCAGCCGGCAACUCUGAAACUCGAAUUUAUAUGGGUUGCCAGAGGUGACAAAUAGCUUAUUUGCUCUGUGCAAUAAAAGGAUUGAUUUUCGCCAUUGUUUCUAACUUUAUAUAUUACACUGCUAGAUUAGUAUAUUGAAUGGUUACGUUGAAAUUUCCUGCUGAUCGGCCAACAAGAAGCCCAACUAUUUGUAAGAAAUCACUCUCUAAUUUUCUUAAACACUACUCUUAUUUCAACUUUAUCAUGGAUACAACAAGGAAAAGAAGUCCAGGGCAGAAUGCUUAUGAUCAAAGAUUGAGUUAUUUUUAUGUUUUCUUAAUAAUAUGAUCGUAUUUUUGUUAAAUCUGGAUAAUUAUGUGGACAUAAUUUAGUACACCAUAAUGAUAAUAGUUUAUUUAUUAUUUUAUUACUUUUAUCCCAUUCAAAAUAUUGAAUUCAAAACUAACAGUAGGAUUGGGAACAAGAACAGUGAUUCAAAUCCUGUUAUUGGAUCAUCCUGACUUUGAAUAGAGCUUGCCUGGCUAUGUUGUUUUGGGUAAUGAGGGGUGAUUUUUCGGUAUGUGAGGGUAUUGUUGUGCAACCUAGCUAGGUUGUAAGCUUGUGUUGAGUGAUUUUGGCUCAAACAUUUUUACUAGGUUCUUGAUUUCUACCUCCAAGCCUCCUAGGAAGAACACCAAGGCCUGCUUCUCUGAGAUUUGUGCUCUAUUCCAUAGCAUAUCAAAGUCCCUGAUAUAACCUUCCAAGUCUCCUUCCUGCUUGUGCUCGGUGAGUUCUUCUAAGGGGUCCUUUUGACCUCCAAAUCGACAGCACAAUGCAUCCACAUAUUCUGCCCAUGUAACCUCAUGUCCUUCUAGGUUUCUGGUAUAAUUCUGAUGCCAGUAAAGUGCCAAGCCAUCCAAAUAAUAUGAAGCUAGUUUCAGUUUGUCAGUCUCAGGAAUUUCUUCUAAGUCGAAAUACUGGUUGCAUUUGUACAACCAUUUAUGCACUUCUUCCCCUUCAAAAGAAGGGAAAUCUCGCCGGGGUCUGCGUGACCUGUAGGUAGGUGGUCCUUCUCCUGUCCAAUCAUGGUUGCUGGCCGGAGCAGGGUGUUGGGGCAUUCGAACAUGCUGGGAGGAACUUGCUUCACCAGCCAAGGUUUGCAGAGUUUGUUUAAUAGAGAUUUGUUGAUUUGCCAUUUCCUUCAUCAUGGCUUUCAGCUGGGCUAGGUCAUCUGACUGAGCGUGCAACUUUGACUUCUAUUCCAUUGACUCUUUGAUUAGCAGCUUCCAAAGAAUCAUCCAUUCUUCUUACAUCUUGGGAUCUAGUUUCUAGUGCCAUUUGUUGAAUCCAAAGAUGAGGGCUCUGAUAUCAAUUUGCUGCAGGUUAACUGGAAGCCUUGAAUAAAGCAAGGGAAGAACGAAGGAGGAAGAGGUUAGAGAAGGGAGAAGAAGAUUAUCACGUUCAGAACGUGUUGAGAGAAAGAGAGAACAGGGGAUAGAAUCUAAGAAUUCUGUUAUAAUUUUCCACACCUUUCUGUUACAAUGAUUAGGGAAUUUAAAGACAAUAUUGUAAAUGCCAGCGUGGCAUCACUACGUGGCUGUACCAGCUGGCUUACUAAAAUAUAAAAUGAAGCUGCACAAAACGCAGCCGUUUGGUUCCAUUUAUUUAAAUUCAAAAUCCUGUUUCAGUUUCCCCUUUGCUCGUUUGUGCCUUCUUUCAUUCUGUUCAUGACAGGUAACCCUUUGAAUUGGUCGUAGCUUUGCAGGGAUCACAAGGAGUCAAGCCAAGGUUUCAACAACAAUCUUAUUUUCCCAGAAAGCAAUCUAGUGGAUUCAGAUCAAGAUUUUCACUUUGUAAACUUGCACUAUACCUUCUGCUCGUACCUGCAGUUCGAGUUAUGAUCCAGCGAAAAAUCCUAUUGCAGUUGCCAUAUAUGGCCGGAUAAAUUCUCGUCAUGACCUCUUUAUAUGCUUUAUGUUAACUAUCCAAUAUAGCCGGCUGCCGGCAGCCGGCAACACUGAAACUCGAUUUUAUAUGGGUUGCCAGAGGUGACAAAUAGCUUAUUUGCUCUGUGCAAUAAAAGGAUUGAUUUUCGCCAUUGUUUCUAACU